AGUAGAUCUCUAUAAAUGCCAUCACGCUACCUUUGUUUAUCCUAGUAAGUGUUAGUUUCGAAGUACUACACAUACUUCUAUUGGCUUUUAAAUUAAGCGUGGUGCUUAGGUUAAAUAGCCUUCCUUAAUCUGAUUAGACAUGGAGUCGAGUUUGGUUACUGAACUAAAAACUACUUGAGUAGACAUUGGUAUAUUUUGUUGGACUAACCCCUGCAGAAAACUUUCAAUAUCGAUUUGGGAAGUCCUAAGAUAAACUCACAUCAGAUAUAAAGAGAGAGACACAUGAAGUUUAACAAUUUGCACAAGAAGGACAUAGCUCAUUCAUCAUAGAGAGAUGAUCCAUGGAUGGAGACAAAGUACAUAAACAAGAUACACAACCAUUACGAAUG
rnacentral:lncRNA from 1 species